AUCGUAACUCCUACGGGAGGCAGCAGUAGGGAAUCUUCCGCAAUGGACGAAAGUCUGACGGAGCAAUGCCGCGUGAGUGAAGAAGGUUUUCGGAUCGUAAAACUCUGUUGUUAGAGAAGAACAAGGAUGAGAGUAACUGCUCAUCCCCUGACGGUAUCUAACCAGAAAGCCACGGCUAACUACGUGCCAGCAGCCGCGGUAAUACGUAGGUGGCAAGCGUUGUCCGGAUUUAUUGGGCGUAAAGCGAGCGCAGGCGGUUUUUUAAGUCUGAUGUGAAAGCCCCCGGCUCAACCGGGGAGGGUCAUUGGAAACUGGAGAACUUGAGUGCAGAAGAGGAGAGUGGAAUUCCACGUGUAGCGGUGAAAUGCGUAGAUAUGUGGAGGAACACCAGUGGCGAAGGCGACUCUCUGGUCUGUAACUGACGCUGAGGCUCGAAAGCGUGGGGAGCAAACAGGAUUAGAAACCCUAGUAGUCCUAGAGC
rnacentral:rRNA from 1 species